CCUGCGGAAGGAUCAUUGUCGAUACCUGUCCAAAACAGAACGACCCGCGAACAUGUAAUUACAAUCACCUGAUGAGGAAACGGGCUAUGGCUUUGAUCUUUCUGGUCCCUUGUCGGCGUGCGUUUGUGCCGCUUCGAAUGGAACGCCAUAGAUGUUUUGUUGACAAGUUAACCAACCCCGGCACGGAAUGCGCCAAGGAAAAAGAAAACAAAAGAAGGUUGUCCCGGUUUCCGCCCCGUUCGCGGUGUGCAUGCUGGUUGGGACUCUUUGAAACAUAAACGACUCUCGGCAACGGAUAUCUCGGCUCACGCAUCGAUGAAGAACGUAGCAAAAUGCGAUACUUGGUGUGAAUUGCAGAAUCCCGUGAACCAUCGAGUUUUUGAACGCAAGUUGCGCCCGAAGCCAUCCGGCCGAGGGCACGCCUGCCUGGGCGUCACACAUCGCGUCGCUCCCCCAUGCAUAUCAGAUUUGGGAUGCAUGGUGUCGGGGCGGAGAUUGGUCUCCUGUGCAACUGCUGCGGUGGCCCAAACAUGAAUCACCUUCGGUUGACGCACGGCUAGUGGUGGUUGAAUAAGCCCUCGUCUUCUGUCGUGCGUCGUUUGCUGCAAGGAAAGCUCUUGUAUAAAGACCUAAUGCGUUGUCUUGUGAUGACGCUUCGACCGCGACCCAGGUCAGGCGGGACUACCCGUUGAGUUUAAGCAUAUC
rnacentral:rRNA from 1 species